UACGUAGGGUGCGAGCGUUAAUCGGAAUUACUGGGCGUAAAGCGUGCGCAGGCGGUUUUGUAAGACAGGCGUGAAAUCCCCGGGCGUCAACCUGGGAACUGCGCUUGUGACUGCAAGGCUAGAGUACGGCAGAGGAGGGUGGAGUUCCACGUGUAGCAGUGAAAUGCGUAGAUAUGCGGAGGAACACCAAUGGCGAAGGCAAUCCCCUGGGCCUGUACUGACGCUCAUGCACGAAAGCGUGGGGAGCAAACCAGGAUUAGAAACCCUGGUAGU
rnacentral:rRNA from 1 species